GUGAUAUUUCAUUCUUUUUUAUUCAGGGACCGGGUGGUAUUACUAUCAAAAAGACUAAUAUGGCUAUACUUAUUGGAAUCUAUGAUGAGCCAAUGACUCCUGGACAGUGUAACCUGGUUGUCGAGAGGCUCGGCGAUUAUCUCCUUGAACAAGGUUUUUAAUUUACUGAAUUUUCAUUCAUAUGUUUGUAUUGAAGUUGUGGUGUUUGCUGAUAAUGAAUGGAUACUCAAGAAUUGGAAAGUGGUAGAUAUGAUUACUUUCUGGAUUCAAACAGUUCUCUUUGUAUUUUGGUUUUGCAAGAAUUGAUUUAAAUUAUUUUAAAGUGAGACACUCGAUUAUUUUUGAGUGGAAUGUUAUUGGUACUUAUUCUUAAAAAUGGAUUUCACUUUUUGGUUUGUGUAAUAUACAGCUGCUGGAUUUCAUCU